GACGAACCGUGCGAACGUUGUUCGGAAUCACUGGGCUUAAAGGGCGCGUAGGCGGCCAUGCAAGUCCGGGGUGAAAUCCUCCAGCUCAACUGGAGAAGUGCCUCGGAUACUGGAUGGCUCGAGUGAGGUAGGGGCAGCUGGAACUUCCGGUGGAGCGGUGAAAUGCGUUGAUAUCGGAAGGAACGCCGGUGGCGAAAGCGGGCUGCUGGACCUCUUCUGACGCUGAGGCGCGAAAGCUAGGGUAGCGAACGGG
rnacentral:rRNA from 1 species